GCAGUGUACCCGCGGCAAGACGGAAAGACCCCGUGAACCUUUACUAUAGCUUGACACUGAACAUUGAGCCUUGAUGUGUAGGAUAGGUGGGAGGCUUUGAAGCGUGGACGCCAGUCUGCGUGGAGCCGACCUUGAAAUACCACCCUUUAAUGUUUGAUGUUCUAACGUUGGCCCCUUACCGGGGUUGCGGACAGUGUCUGGUGGGUAGUUUGACUGGGGCGGUCUCCUCCCAAAGCGUAACGGAGGAGCGCGUAG
rnacentral:rRNA from 1 species